rnacentral:rRNA from 1 species
AUUGAACGCUGGCGGCAUGCCUUACACAUGCAAGUCGAACGGCAGCACGGGGCAACCUGGUGGCGAGUGGCGAACGGGUGAGUAAUGCAUCGGAACGUACCCAGUCGUGGGGGAUAACGUAGCGAAAGUUACGCUAAUACCGCAUACGUCCUGAGGGAGAAAGCGGGGGGCCGUAAGGCCUCGCGCGAUUGGAGCGGCCGAUGUCGGAUUAGCUAGUUGGUAGGGUAAAGGCCUACCAAGGCGACGAUCCGUAGCGGGUCUGAGAGGAUGAUCCGCCACACUGGGACUGAGACACGGCCCAGACUCCUACGGGGGGCAGCAGUAGGGAAUUUUCGGCAAUGGGCGAAAGCCUGACCGAGCGACGCCGCGUGAGGGACGAAGGCCUUCGGGUUGUAAACCUCUGUCUGGGGGGAUGAGAACGGACGGUACCCCCGGAGGAAGCCCCGGCUAACUACGUG